rnacentral:rRNA from 1 species
AGCAGCCGCGGUAAUUCCAGCUCCAAUAGCGUAUAUUAAAGUUGCUGCAGUUAAAAAGCUCGUAGUUGAAUUUCGGGACUAAUAUGUCGGUCGUGCCUCGGUACGUACUGGUUUAUUGGUUUCUCCUUUCUGAAGAACCAUGAUGUCAUUUAUUUGGUGUCGUGGAGAAUCAGGACUGUUACUUUGAAAAAAUUAGAGUGUUUAAAGCAGGCUCACGCUUGAAUACAUUAGCAUGGAAUAAUGAAAUAGGACGUUUGAUUCUAUUUUGUUGGUUUCUAGGAUCGACGUAAUGAUUAAUAGGGAUAGUUGGGGGCAUUAGUAUUCAAUUGUCAGAGGUGAAAUUCUUGGAUUUAUUGAAGACUAACUACUGCGAAAGCAUUUGCCAAGGAUGUUUUCAUUAAUCAAGAACGAAAGUUAGGGGAUCGAAGACGAUCAGAUACCGUCGUAGUC